GGUUAUUUGGAUGAAAUGCUUAUUUCUUUUUUAACAUAAGCAUUGACUGGAAAUAUUGGUUAUUCUGUCUGAUAUUACAUGAAGGUCAGAUGCCCUCCAUGCAACCAUGAGGUCGGAUGGCAGUUUGAUGCUGAACCAGCAAACAAGCCUACUCAGCAUGAAACUAUGAGUAUAAAAACCUUUAUGAUGACCUACCUCCACUUGGAUCAAUGAAGAGGCUCUAUCUGGAAGGCUUAUCCCUGUUCCAUGUUGCAUCACGUGGAGAAGUUCCCUAAGUGUUGGAGGAUUCACUUCAGGAUGACUCACUCACAUCUGGAAGAAGAGUUGUGGACAUAGACACAUACAGAGAGAAGACCAUGUGAAGUCACAGGGAGAAGACAGCCACCUACAUACCAAGGAGAGAGGCUGUACAAGAAACCAACCCUGAUGACACCUUGAUCUUGGACUUCCAGCUUCCAGAUUUACAGGAAAAUAAAUUUCCGUUGUUUAAGCCACACAGUCUAUGGCAUUUUGUUAUGGCAGUUCUAGCAAACUAAUAUACAGCCUAUAUCAUAUACUACUCAGUUUGACUACUUUUAUUUUGGAACAUAUUAUACUUUUGCUACUUUUGCUUAUGCAGUUUCUUUUGCUUAGUGUCCCUUGCUAGUAGAUAUUUAUAUUUAAAGAUAUUUUAGGCCUGGCACAGUGGCUCACACCUGUAAUUCCAACACUUUGGCAGGCUGAGGUGAGUAAAUCACUUGAGGCCAGGAGUUUGAGAUCAGCCUGGCUAACAUGGCGAAACCCCUUCUCUACUAAAAAAUACAAAAGUUAGCUGG
rnacentral:lncRNA from 1 species